rnacentral:rRNA from 3 species
AAAUUGAAGAGUUUGAUCAUGGCUCAGAUUGAACGCUGGCGGCAGGCCUAACACAUGCAAGUCGAACGGUAGCACAGAGAGCUUGCUCUCGGGUGACGAGUGGCGGACGGGUGAGUAAUGUCUGGGAAACUGCCUGAUGGAGGGGGAUAACUACUGGAAACGGUGG